rnacentral:rRNA from 1 species
AGCGAACGCUGGCGGCAGGCCUAACACUUGCAAGUCGAACGGACCCUUCGGGGUUAGUGGCGGACGGGUGAGUAACACGUGGGAACGUGCCUUUAGGUUCGGAAUAGCUCCUGGAAACGGGUGGUAAUGCCGAAUGUGCCCUUCGGGGGAAAGAUUUAUCGCCUUUAGAGCGGCCCGCGUCUGAUUAGCUUGUUGGUGGGGUAAUGGCCCACCAAGGCUACGAUCAGUAGCUGGUCUGAGAGGAUGACCAGCCACAUUGGGACUGAGACACGGCCCAAACUCCUACGGGAGGCAGCAGUGGGGAAUCUUGCGCAAUGGGCGAAAGCCUGACGCAGCCAUGCCGCGUGUAUGAUGAAGGUCUUAGGAUUGUAAAAUACUUUCACCGGUGAAGAUAAUGACUGUAGCCGGAGAAGAAGCCCCGGCUAACUUCGUGCCAGCAGCCGCGGUAAUACGAAGGGGGCUAGCGUUGCUCGGAAUUACUGGGCGUAAAGGGAGCGUAGGCGGACAUUUAAGUCAGGGGGU